AGCAGCGGGGGAAUUCCAUCCGAACAAGCCCAUUUCACACGUUCCCUGGAGCGCCGCGAUUCACGGCCGGCCGCCGCCCGCCGACCGCCGCGAGGCAAGAAAAGGAAAGAAUUUCCCCGGAAGAGAUGGUGUACGCGCCGCCGCCCGACGGCAUGGGCCUGGAAAUCGACCUCGACCUGGACCCGGAGGACCUCCACCCGACGGUGCCCCUGAAGAAGGUCCCCGCGGGGGACCUCUUCGAGGCGGCGCGGGCCGGCGACUGCGACCGCCUCGCGCUCCUCCUCGAGGCCGGCGCCAACGUCAACGCGCGCGACCGCUGGGACUCCGUCGCGCUCUACUACGCCUGCCUCGCCGGCCACGCCGACGCCGCGCGGAUGCUGCUCGAGGCCGGGGCCGUCUGCGCCGAGCGCACCUUCGACGGCGACCGCUGCCACUACGCGGCGCUCAACCUCGACCUCCGGAGGCUCCUCAAGUCGUUCGAGGCGCGGCCGCCCCCGCUCGCGCCGCUGCCCGCCGCGCUGCGGACCACCUUCCUCGCGUGCCCCGCCAACCGCGCCGCCUACCUCGAGAUGUUGCUCCAGGAGGGCGCCACCGCCGAAGCCGCUGCGCUAGCUGAGGCCGAAGGAUUUGGGCCAACAGAUGGUGCAUCAACUGGCAGUCUGUUCCCCCCAGAUAUUACAUUUUACGUGGAUGGAAAACCUAUUGAAGCUCAUCGGAUCAUCCUUUGUGCUCGAUCGCCCUUCUUUGAACAUAAAUUCGAGACAGACUGGAAAAACAGGAAGGAAGUGAGAUUUUCUAAUAAAAAAUUAUCAUUUGGUGCCUUGUACAACCUUAUCCAUUUCUUCUAUGCCGAUAGACUCGAGGCUCCAGUAGAUGAAAUGGAAAGUUUGUCACGCACUUGCAAAGUUUGCAAGUGUGAGGAGUUGCGUAAGUUAGUUGAUAAAGAAAUUCUGCAUCUUAGGUUUGCACUGUAUAAGUCAACAAGUAAGUUGGGUUUGGAAAAUUCACAGAGUCCGAGACGGUUCAUUUUACUCGGGCAGUCAUUGCCACGAGAAGAUCGUCUUCCAUCGGCAUUGCGGCGUGUUCUUCAGAAAUGUCUAGCUAAUUCAAGAGAAGAAGAGUUCAAAAAAACUCUAGCAAAUGAGAUCUGCAGAAACUGGAAGGAUGAUGAUCUUGCUGAUCUCACUGUAAAAGUAGAUGAUACAGUCUUUCGUUGCCAUCAGGUGAUUUUGGCCUCAAGGUCAGAGUAUUUUAAAACCAGACUAUCUCGAACAGUGGAUUUUCUUGAAGGUAACAAUCGAGUGCAUGCAUCUCUGGGUCUCCCAUUUCUUGAGGAGCAUGACCUGAGUACGGAAGCAUUUGAAAAGAUGCUUGAAUACAUGUAAGAUCCCUUUGCACUUUUUCUUGCUUAACCAUUAUUGUUAUUGUUACUGCUCUUGUCUGGUUUAUUCCCUGCUUGUGUUAAUUUUAGGUAUACUGACAAUCUGGAGCAUAUGCAUCCAACCCAGGCUGAAGAACUAUUUGAUGUCGCAUCGAGAUACCUGCUGUUUCCCCUUAGGCGUGCUGUAGCUGAUUUACUGUUACCAAAUCUGGAACAUGUUUCACCUGCAGAGCUGUGCCAUUGGUUGAUCUUGUCAGACAUUUAUGGCGUUAUGAAAAUAAGGGAGUACUGCCUGGAUAUCAUUGCCUACAAUUUCGAGAUGUUUGCGGACAUAAGAGAGUUCAGGGCUUUGCUCUUGACACUCCCACCGCCAUCUGCAAAUGACGCACUACGAACGACUCGUCCCAGCCAGCCCGGGGCUGCAGGGCACACUGACCAAGGCAAUAUUCUCGAUGACUUGCGUGAGAAAUGGUUGGAAGCGGAGGCUGCUGAGCUAGACGAGAGAGAUCAGAGCGCAGCGCUGUUUGACCAGCGACUGGAGAUGCUCAUGCUUGUUGCGGAGCGGGAAGCCUGUGAUGAUGACAAUGCUGCCCUCCACUGAGGGCUGGAACUCUAUACCUUUCUUGUGUAGCUCUUCCUUUUGUAGUCUUUGCUGGAAGGGACUGAUGUAGUGUUUCUGAAUUACAUGUCUCCCCUUUGUUUUACAAUGGAUGCUUCUUACACUGGAAUGAAACCUUUUUGGAGCUUCAGCA
rnacentral:rRNA from 1 species